rnacentral:rRNA from 1 species
AGUGAGGUCUUCGGAUUGGCUUUGGGGAGCCGGCGACGGCACCCUAUCGCUGAGAAGUCGAUCAAACUUGGUCAUUUAGAGGAAGUAAAAGUCGUAACAAGGUUUCCGUAGGUGAACCUGCGGAAGGAUCAUUAUCGAAAUUAUAGGUGAGGGUUGUAGCUGGCCUCUCGGGGCAUGUGCACGCCCGAGCCCUUAAUCCACACACACCUGUGAACCUAUUGUAAGGGCCCUUAAAAAAGGCCUUUACGUCUUAUCAUCAACCCAUCGUAUGUCUCAUAGAAUGUAAAUAUAUGUCCUCGCCUUAAAAAGCGUUGAUAAACUUAUACAACUUUCAACAACGGAUCUCUUGGCUCUCGCAUCGAUGAAGAACGCAGCGAAAUGCGAUAAGUAAUGUGAAUUGCAGAUUUUCAGUGAAUCAUCGAAUCUUUGAACGCACCUUGCGCUCCUUGGUAUUCCGAGGAGCAUGCCUGUUUGAGUGUCAUUAAAUUCUCAACUCUGAUCGAUUUGUUUCGACUUCGGAGCUUGGAUUUGGAGCGUGCUGGCGUCGGUCGGCUCCUCUUAAAUGCAUCAGCGGAAUCUAACGUUUCGGACGUCAGUGUGAUAAUCAUGUUGCGCUGUCUGUCUGAUCCGAAAGCCCGCUCACAAUGGUCUUCGGACAACUUCAUAUCAAAUUUGACCUCAAAUCAGGUAGGACUACCCGCUGAACUUAAGCAUAUCAAUAAGCGGAGGAAAAGAAACUAACAAGGAUUCCCCUAGUAACUGCGAGUGAAGCGGGAAAAGCUCAAAUUUAAAAUCUGGCGGUCUUGCGGCCGUCCGAGUUGUAAUCUGGAGAAGCGUUUAUCCGCGUCGGACCGUGUACAAGUCUU